rnacentral:lncRNA from 1 species
GGCCGAGUGAGAUCCAUGGCUCAGUAUUGAAUGUGAGGUUCCCGAAUCUGCUUCUCUUCAAGGCCGCUGUGCUCUCCUCGGAGCUGAGUGUGUGGACUGUGCAGCUCAUCGGAUGUGCACACACACACACGGGUGCUCAUGGGCACACUUCCAAGUUGAACAGGCUCUCACCAGGGCACUUGGGCGCAGCCACAAAUGCUUCAGUUCCAAAAUGCAAAGGAUGAAGAAAUCAGAAAAGUCCCCAAUGCCACCGGCCACCUUCAGGGAGAGCCUGGCUGUCCAGACAAGCCGCUGGUCAGGUGCAUAGCAGUGGGAAAUGCUGUGUGUUGAGGGCAUCUUCAUAGGUCCAGCUGGCCGCUCCACAUGGACACCCAACAACCAGACCUUCCGUCAAGCUCAACGGAACCCCCCCAGUGACUCGGAGGAGGCUCGGGCUCCUGUCACACAGACCCUCCGUUGAACUCGAUUGAACCCCUCCAGUGACUCAGAGGAGGCUCAGGCUCCUGUCACACAGAUCCUCCGUUGAGCUCAAUUGAACCCCUCCAGUGACUCAGAGGAGGCUCAGGCUCCUGUCACACAGAGUCUGGCACUUUCCUGUAAGCAUCAACAUCAGCAGAACACGAUCAUGGCUCAGUCUCUGAGCAGAAUUCUGAUGAUCCUGCAACCCCAACUGGACUCUUCUAAACUAGCAAGCUCUCUGUCCCAGGAGCACUUGGAGAGGCUGCCCUGCUCCACCUCACUUCUGAACGGCCGGCUGGAGCCACGCAGAUGCACACUGGUUUGGACAAAUGCACAUGCACUCCCCAACUCCUCUCACCUCUGGGUCCUCCCCUCCAGCCUUAGGCCCAGGGCUCACUCCUUAGUGCCCCCCACACCUCAUGAGCAGGCCUAGUUCAUUGUCUCCAAGACAUUCUGCAAAGGCCUCACUACCCCCGAAGGUCUAAGGAGUUCCUACUGACUUAGGGUCUACAGGGUUCAAAAUGCUCUGAGCAGACUGAGAAACCAAAGACCAGUUCCAAAUAAGACUUAUCCUGAGGAGCACCAGGAGUGCCCAUCAUCAAUUCACAAAAUCCUAAACCUCCAAAUGGAGGGGACAUGACAUGUCACCUUACCCUCGAUGAACGCCCUCUACACAAAUACCCUAGCCAGUCUUGACUCCUUUUGACAUGACCCUGUUGUGGGAGCUGCAAAGACCAUCAUGGAUCCCACAAACAGGCAUGGCGCUGGGCAAGACGGCCAUGGAUCCCACAGACAGGGAUGGCACCAGGCAGCCCGUGGUGCAAGGCAGGAAAGGGGAGGACAAAGCAGGGCAGGGAUUAGAGAGUGCAGAGGCCCAGCUUUAGGAAGAUGGUUGAAGCCUGCAAAGAGUUAACGGCAUUCCACUGGGUCUGGGAGGAUAAACGUGGUUUGGAUAGAGACACAGGGACAGCAUGAGCGAAGGGCCCAUAAGGGAAGGACCUCGGUAUUUAACAGAAGCAUUGGACAGAGAAGUCUGGUGAAACGGACGGAAGGCUAGAGAGGCAGCUGGGAUUAACUCACGGAGGCCUGGACUGUCCCGGCCAGUGGGUAAGACUGUGCUCUUUAGAUGGGCGCUGGAGGUGAAGUGUCCUGUGUUUAGUGAAAUCCCUCUCUCAAUAGCCCGGAUGGAGGAUAAGAGGAGCCCUGCAGGGAGGACAAUGAACCAGGAAGCAGCCGACAGGGAAUGGAAUGGAGGCAGAGGAUCGGCAGCCUGGGGGAGGAAUGGCAGGGCCUCCUCCCUGAUCAGCCAGGCCAGGGACAGAGUGGCACAUAAAGGGCACAUGAGCCUGGGUAACAAGAAGAAGGCUGCUGGUGGUCAGAGACACUGGGCUAUCAGGGGAAUUCUAACAGUUGGGAGAAAAUGCCCAGCUCGUCGUGGGGAAGCUUGAGAGGUAACAUUUGAGAGGCCAGGAAGCAUUAGCUCGUGGCAGCUGCACUUUUCUCUGCCUUUGAUCAUCGCCCGUCUGGGCACCUGGCUGACACUGACUAGAAGGAGAAAGGGCCAGGGCCAGGAGGCAUUUGCUCCCCCUCCCAUGGCCAGAGGCAGCCAGCAUCCUAAUGAAUGAGGGUGAGUGAAGGAAGUAUUUGGAAUUUCACAGAGAGGCCCAUUUCCUUCUGCACAUAUGAAGCACCUGCUAGUGCUGUGUACUAGACACUGGAAAGCUGAAUUUCCAGGAGGAGGAGAUGCUCGUAGAAACAAUAAACGAACAACAUGCAGCGGGAGAGCCACAGACAGGACACAUAAGGUCUAGAAGAAGCCUCAGUGUGAACCAAAGGGGAAGGGGAGGGGGAGGAAGAGGAAGGGAAGGGGAAGGAAGCAGCUUAGGGUUAAAGGACAAAAGAGAUCCCAAGCUCCAGGCCCACAGGCCAGGGAGGUCCCAG